AGUGAACGCUGGCGGUAGGCCUAACACAUGCAAGUCGAACGGCAGCACAGUAAGAGCUUGCUCUUACGGGUGGCGAGUGGCGGACGGGUGAGGAAUACAUCGGAAUCUACUUUUUCGUGGGGGAUAACGUAGGGAAACUUACGCUAAUACCGCAUACGACCUACGGGUGAAAGCAGGGGAUCUUCGGACCUUGCGCGAUUGAAUGAGCCGAUGUCGGAUUAGCUAGUUGGCGGGGUAAAGGCCCACCAAGGCGACGAUCCGUAGCUGGUCUGAGAGGAUGAUCAGCCACACUGGAACUGGGAGACGGUCCAGACUCCUACGGGGGGCAGCAGUGGGGAAUAUUGGACAAUGGGCGCAAGCCUGAUCCAGCCAUACCGCGUGGGUGAAGAAGGCCUUCGGGUUGUAAAGCCCUUUUGUUGGGAAAGAAAAGCAGCAGGUUAAUACCCCGCUGUUCUGACGGUACCCAAAGAAUAAGCACCGGCUAACUUCG
rnacentral:rRNA from 1 species